UAACAUUUAACAAAACAAUGACAAAUAUUACAUUUACAGAGUCCAGUUUUGGAAGCACUCAUCAUACAUUAAAUUAAGGAAUCUUGCUUACUUACUAUUCUGGUAUAAUUUAGAGCUCCAGAAACAUUUUAAGUACAUAGACAUUUCAGGGUAGCAGUGUACUACAUGUGACCAUCUUGACGUUGUUAUGCCUCAUCACUGGCUAUGUUGGCUAGGGCUGAUGGGACUUGUAACCCAAAUGUAUUUGAAGGACCAGAGGUUGUACACAGUAUUAGUUAAAAAGGAGUAAUAGUUUAAUUAACUGCUAUGAGGUUAAUUAUGUGUUUUGAUAAGAGCUCCUUGAUUGAAAUGCAGUAGGUGGUAACUGGAGUAGGUCCACUGAAUCACAAAAACCUAGAUAGGUGUUGGUUCGCUAAUUCAGUGGGCCUACUCAAUUGUGAUUCUCAGCUAGGUUUCUGCCAUUAAGAGUUAACUAAUUUGUAACUUUUCCCUACUAAGUUUGACAUCUGGGGCCAUGAUCAAUAUCAUCUAGUGCACUGGUUCUUAACCUUGGGUUACUCAGGAGUUUUGAACUGCAACUCCCAGAAGCCUUCACCACCAGCUGUCCUGACUGGGGUUUCUGGGAGUUGCAGUUCAAAAGCAUCCGAGUAACAAAGGUUAAGAACCACUGAGUAGUUGACUGGUUAUUCUCUGGAAGAAUACGUUUUUGUUAUUGUUUUCCAAAGAAUCAGAGGAAAACCAAUCCACAAAACCAUGCCAACUAUUUCUCCAUCAUUGGUUCUUUCAUUUUAUUUAUAUCUCUCCCAGUAAAGGGUCUCAAGGGGGCUUACAAAAAUAUUCAGAAUAGAAAUGCCAUUAAAAAUGAGUAGCAAUCAACACAUUACACAUAAGAAGCAAUUAACACAUUACAUAUUAAAACAAAUGAAUAAAAACAACCGAAAAUCUAUUUUAAAAUAUGAUAUCCUUCAUUAAACCCCUUCCAUGGCAGCUAGUCACUUGACACAACACCCUAUGCUAUACAGAUUUUAUUUUAAAAUUAAUUCUGAAAGUGAUAUGCAUGAAGUCCAAUGCAGAACCACAUCUAUAAGGGUUUUUUUCCAGCCAAUAUUACAAUAUCCUCUGCUUGGGAAUAGUGCCAAGCUAAACCGAUGGCACAGCUGCAUAAUUUUAACCCCUGGUCUUUUGAUUGUGAUGUGUGUUCCUUUAGUUACUGCCUUGCUCCAGGCAAAUUACCUCUUGUCUUUACAGCAAGACAGGAAAUAG
rnacentral:lncRNA from 1 species